rnacentral:rRNA from 1 species
AUUGAACGCUGGCGGCAGGCCUAACACAUGCAAGUCGAACGGCAGCACAGAAGAGCUUGCUCUUUGGGUGGCGAGUGGCGGACGGGUGAGUAAUGUCUGGGAAACUGCCCGAUGGAGGGGGAUAACUACUGGAAACGGUAGCUAAUACCGCAUAACGUCGCAAGACCAAAGUGGGGGACCUUCGGGCCUUACACCAUCGGAUGUGCCCAGAUGGGAUUAGCUAGUAGGUGGGGUAAUGGCUCACCUAGGCGACGAUCCCUAGCUGGUCUGAGGGGAUGACCAGGCACACUGGAACUGAGACACGGUCCAGACUCCCACGGGAAGCAGCAGUGGGGAAUAUUGCACAAUGGGCGCAAGCCUGAUGCAGCCAUGCCGCGUGUAUGAAGAAGGCCUUCGGGUUGUAAAGUACUUUCAGCGGGGAGGAAGGCGGUGAGGUUAAUAACCUCGCCGAUUGACGUUACCCGCAGAAGAAGCACCGGCUAACUCCGUGCCAGCAGCCGCAGUAA